UACAGAGGGUGCAAGCGUUGUUCGGAAUUAUUGGGCGUAAAGGGAGUGUAGGCGGUUUGGUAAGUCUUCUGUGAAAUCUACGGGCUUAGCCUGUAACGUGCAGAGGAAACUACCGAGCUUGAGUGUCGGAGAGGAUAGGGGAAUACCCAGUGUAGAGGUGAAAUUCGUAGAGAUUGGGUGGAACACCAGUGGCGAAGGCGGCGACCUGGUCCUUGACUGACGCUGAGGCGCGAAAGCGUGGGGAGCAAACAGG
rnacentral:rRNA from 1 species